rnacentral:rRNA from 1 species
GGCUCAUUAUAUAAGUUAUCGUUUAUUUGAUAGUACCUUACUACUUGGAUAACCGUGGUAAUUCUAGAGCUAAUACAUGCAAAUCAAUCCCGACUUCGGAAGGGAUGUAUUUAUUAGAUUAAAAACCAAUGCCCUCUGGGCUCUCUGGUGAUUCAUGAUAACUGCUCGAAUCGCAUGGCCUUGCGCCGGCGAUGGCUCAUUCAAAUUUCUUCCCUAUCAACUUUCGAUGUUUGGGUAGUGGCCAAACAUGGUUGCAACGGGUAACGGAGGGUUAGGGCUCGACCCCGGAGAAGGAGCCUGAGAAACGGCUACUACAUCCAAGGAAGGCAGCAGGCGCGCAAAUUACCCAAUCCCGACACGGGGAGGUAGUGACAAUAAAUACUGAUACAGGGCUCUUUUGGGUCUUGUAAUUGGAAUGAGUACAAUUUAAAUCCCUUAACGAGGAACAAUUGGAGGGCAAGUCUGGUGCCAGCAGCCGCGGUAAUUCCAGCUCCAAUAGCGUAUAUUAAAGUUGUUGUGGUUAAAAAGCUCGUAGUUGAACCUUGGGCCUGGCUGGCCGGUCCGCCUCACCGCGUGCACUGGUCCGGCCGGGCCUUUCCCUCUGUGGAACCCCAUGCCCUUCACUGGGUGUGGCGGGGAAGCAGGACUUUUACUUUGAAAAAAUUAGAGUGCUCUAAGCAGGCCAAUGCUCGAAUACAUUAGCAUGGAAUAAUGAAAUAGGACGCGCGGUUCUAUUUUGUUGGUUUCUAGGACCGCCGUAAUGAUUAAUAGGGACAGUCGGGGGCAUCAGUAUUCAAUUGUCAGAGGUGAAAUUCUUGGAUCAUUUGAAGACUAACUACUGCGAAAGCAUUUGUCAAGGAUGUUUUCAUUAAUCAGGAACGAAAGUUAGGGGAUCGAAGACGAUCAGAUACCGUCGUAGUCUUAACCAUAAACUAUGCCGACUAGGGAUCGGACGAUGUUAUU